UUGAACGCUGGCGGCAUGCCUUACACAUGCAAGUCGAACGGUAACGCGGGGCAACCUGGCGACGAGUGGCGAACGGGUGAGUAAUGCAUCGGAACGUGCCCAGUAGUGGGGGAUAGCCCGGCGAAAGCCGGAUUAAUACCGCAUACGACCUACGGGUGAAAGCGGGGGACCGCAAGGCCUCGCGCUAUUGGAGCGGCCGAUGUCGGAUUAGCUAGUUGGUGGGUAAGCCUACCAAGGCGACGAUCCGUAGCUG
rnacentral:rRNA from 1 species